UUCAUUAAAUAAAAUAAAUAUGGAUAUGGAUCCAAUUGGUAUCCGAUUUCAACCUUAGGAGGAAAUCAACUUAUAUCUAGAUUUUUUUUUUUUUUUGGGUGAACUCCUAAAAAAAAUACUUUGAUAUCCCCAGCUGCAAUGCCGAACUGCCUAUGGUUUUGACUUGGGGCCCUCCUCAAGCACCUGAAAUAAAGUCAACUCACAGUUCCCUCCAUCCACUAAGCCAAAGUCAAAUCUAGAGUUGUUUGUUGAGAGACAAAAUUUAGUCCAAACCUAAACAGACCGCGCACGGCUCUCCAGAAUGACAAAACCAAAAAGGAACAAAGGAAACCAUCCCAAUUACGUGCAUCCCACAACCAGCUCUUUCAAAU
rnacentral:lncRNA from 1 species